AUUGAACGCUGGCGGCAUGCCUUACACAUGCAAGUCGAACGGUAACAGGUCUUCGGAUGCUGACGAGUGGCGAACGGGUGAGUAAUACAUCGGAACGUGCCCAGACGUGGGGGAUAACGAGGCGAAAGCUUUGCUAAUACCGCAUACGAUCUAAGGAUGAAAGCAGGGGACCGCAAGGCCUUGUGCGUUUGGAGCGGCCGAUGGCAGAUUAGGUAGUUGGUGGGAUAAAAGCUUACCAACCCGACGAUCUGUAGCUGGUCUGAGAGGACGACCAGCCACACUGGGACUGAGACACGGCCCAGACUCCUACGGGAGGCAGCAGUGGGGAAUUUUGGACAAUGGGCGAAAGCCUGAUCCAGCAAUGCCGCGUGCAGGAUGAAGGCCUUCGGGUUGUAAACUGCUUUUGUACGGAACGAAAAGGCUCUGGCUAAUACCUGGGGCACAUGACGGUACCGUAAGAAUAAGCACCGGCUAACUACGUG
rnacentral:rRNA from 1 species